GGGACUGUGUUCAUUAAUUAUCCUUUUCAAAGUCAGGACUAAACAAACAAAUCACUUCCUACAAGGAAAAAAAAUUUUUUUAAGCCACAUCUCACAGAUGACGGCUUCUGGAAGGGCCUGCACGCUGCGCAGUGGCUGUAUUCCAGUUUAUUUACAAAGAAUGCACAGAUCAAUGUCCAGUGACCUUGGGGCAUUGCUGAGGACAGGAUGUUAACAAAGUAGAUUUUUAACAGACUUAAUUGCAGGCAGUAUCUCAGAAAAACGAUUUCUCUCCGUGGCUUUAAGGAAGAGAGCUGCCUACCUGAUCUGAAAUUACGAAGAUAUCGCAGUUCGUGGCCCAGCUGCAGAGGGGAAAGUGUCAAGGUCAACACCCCGCGUGUGACUCGGUGAGCGGAAGCAUUUUCUCUCUCCCUCUGAACUUACCUAGCUACGUCCGCUGGAUUGCGAAUGAUCACUCAGCCCCGAUGGCGUUUCAGGACCUCUUGGAUCAAGUGGGCAGCUGGGGAAGAUUCCAGAUCCUGCAGAUGAUUUUCCUCAUGAUCUGCAAUGUGGCAGUGUAUCCUCACAUCCUAUUGGAGAACUUCACUGCUGCUGUCCCUGACCAUCGCUGCUGGGUCCCCCUCCUGGACAACCACACCACCUCUGACAAUGACACUGGACUCCUCAACAAAGAUGCCCUUCUAAGAGUCUUCAUCCCGCUGGACGCGAACCUGAGGCCAGAGAAGUGCCGUCGCUUCACCCGUCCCCAGUGGCAGCUCCUUUACCUGAACGGGACCUCCCCGAGCACGAAUGAGCCGGACACAGAGCCCUGUGUGGACGGCUGGGUGUACGACCGCAGCUCCUUCGUCUCCACCACCGUGAUGCAGUGGGACCUGGUUUGUGACUCUCAGUCACUGAAUUCAGUGUCUAAAUUCCUAUUCAUGGCCGGAAUGGUAGUGGGGAGCAUCGUAUUUGGCCAUUUAACAGACAGGUAUGGGAGGAGGUUAAUACUCAUAUGGUGCUUAUUACAAAUCGCCAUCGCUGACACCUGCGCGGCCUUUGCUCCCACCUUCUUUGUGUACUGCAUUCUACGCUUCUUGUCUGGAAUGUCUACUGCAGCGAUCCUAGCAAAUAAUUCCAUGCUUAUCAUAGAAUGGACAGUGCCCCAGUUCCAAGCUACGGGAAUGACAUUGGCAGUGUCUGCUGCUAGUAUUGGACAGAUACUAUUGGGAGGUCUGGCUUUUGCUGUUCGAAACUGGUGCACCCUCCAGCUAGUGAUGUCUGUGCCAAUAUUUUUAUUAUUUAUAAUUUCAAGAUGGGUACUGGAGUCUGCUCGGUGGCUGAUUAUCAACAACAAACCCCAGGAGGGCUUAAAGGAACUUAGAAAAGCUGCCAGUAGGAAUGGAGUGAAGAAUUCCGAGGACAUCCUAACCAUGGAGGUUCUGAAUUCUGCUAUGCAGGAGGAGCUGGAGACGGCACAGAAAAAGCCUUCUGCACGUGACUUGUUCCGUUCACCCAACCUGCGGAAACGGAUCUGGUUAAUGUCCUUUGUGAGAUUUGCAACGUUCAUGCACCUUUUUGGCCUGAGCCUCCACCUCCAGCACUUGGGGAGCAAUGUUUUCUUGUUCCAGGUUCUCUUUGGUGCAGUCACCCUUCCUGCCAAUUAUGUCGCACUUUUGGCACUGAAUCACAUGGGCCGUCGAAUCAGUCAAUUGCUUCUCAUGUUCCUGGUGGGACUCUGCAUUCUGGCCCUCAUAUUUGUACCUCAAGAAACACAGACCGUGCGUGUGGUUGUGGCAACAUUGGGAGGAGGACUUUCUUUCGCCUCUCUUACCAGUUCUCUUGCCCAUGGAAAUGAGCUAAUCCCCACCAUAAUCAGGGCAACAGUUGCCGGAAUCGCUGGAAUUGCAGGCAGUCUUGGGUCUUCCCUGGCUCCCCUCUUGAUGAUCCUCACCGUGUACUAUGCACCCUCACCCUGGAUCAUCUACGGAGGCUUCUCCAUCCUCGCUGGCCUUGUUGUCCUCCUCCUCCCUGAGACCAGGAACCAGCCUCUGCCUGACUCCAUCCAGGAUGUGGAAGAUGAGAAAAACGUCUCAAGAAAAACAAAGCAAGAAGAAGCCUUCAUCAAAGUGACAAAGCUUUAAAGACGCCAAGGAGGGACCUGUGCUAUGUGUAGUGGGCUAAGCUUCUGCCUGCGGCGCCGGCACCCCACAUGGGCAUGAGUUCAUGUCCUGGUUGCUCUCCUGACUCAGCUCUCUACUGACAGCCUGGGAACGCAGUGGACGGUGGCCCAAAUGCUUGAGCCCCUGUCCCCAUGUGGGAGACCCUGAAGAAGCUCUUGGCUCCUUGCUCCUGGCUUCGGAUCGGCCCAGCUCCAGCUGUUAUGGCCAUUUGGAGAGUGAACCAGAGGACUGAAGACCUCUCUUUCUGUCUUUCCCUCUCUCUGUCUGCAACUCCACCUCUCAAAUAAAUAAAUAAAAUAUUUUUAAAAUUAAAAAAAAAUACUCCAAAGGAACUGACUGUUAAUUACAGCAAGAUAAAAAAAAUCAAGAUAUUUUCUAAAUGCUAACAAAAUUUGGAAAAUAAAUGUCAUGAAAAACGGAUGCCAUUUAUAAUUAUGCUAAUUAAUAAACAUAAAACACAUGCAAGUAAUUGUAGUAAGAAGUUUAAAGAUAAUUGUAAUACUUUAAAAGGAAUCAUGGUGCAUAGCGUGCUUAGGAUAAGAAAAUUAAAUAGUUUUUAAAAAUUAAUUCUUCCCCCAAUUAGCUAAUAAAGUCAUUGGUGGAGUAAUUACAAUGAAAAGUCCAUAAGUUUACAAGAACUUGAAGGAUAGCUCUAAAUUUAUAUGGAAACUGAGUGUAAGCAAGAUGAUUUGGAGAAAAGAGGUUCAUGGAUGAAGGCUGGACUGGUUGCUAUAGGGAGAGCAUCUGUAGGACUUUAUUUUGAGCCGUGAUAGUCAAAAUGAUAAUAAACAGAUACAGUGGGGAGUGGGAAAUCAGAAGAAACCCAGUAACAGACUUAGGAUUAUGUAUCUAUCUGCAUAAGUAGCCUCAAAUUUUUUUAAAGUAAGAAAUUUCCCAGGGCCAGUGCCGUGUUGUAGGGGUAAAGCCGCUGCCUGCAGUGCCGGCAUCCCAUAUGGGCGCCAGUUCAAAUCCUGACUGCUCCACUUCCCAUGCAGCUCUCUGCUAUGGCCUGGGACAGCAGUGGAAGAUGGCCCAAGUCCUUGGGCCCCUGCACCCAUGUAGGAGACCCAGAGGGAGCGCCUAGCUCCUGGCUUCGAAUCAGCACAGCUCUGGCUGUUGCAGCCAUCUGGGGAGUGAACCAGCGGAUGGACGAUCUCUCUCCCUCUCUCUCUCUGCCUCUUCUCUUUCUCUGUGUAACUCUGACGUUAAGGUAAAUAAAUAAAUCUUUUAAAAAAGAAAUUUCCCAAUAACUUUAUUUAUAACUUUUGUUUUAAAAAGUAUGAACCCUUGGCCGGCACCACGGCUCAAUAGGCUAAUCCUCCACCUGCGGCACCAGCACACUGGGUUCUAGUCCCGGUCAGGGCGCUGGAUUCUGUCCCAGUUGCUCCUCUUCCAGGCCAGCUCUCUGCUGUGACCCAGGAGUGCAGUGGAGGGUGGCCCAAGUGCUUGGGCCCUGCACCUGCAUGGGAGACCAGGAGAAGCACCUGGCUCCUGCCUUUGGAUCAGCGCAGUGCGCCGGCCGCAACACGCUGCUGGAGCGGUCAUUGAGGGGGUGAACCAAUGAAAAAGGAAGACCUUUCUCUCUGUCUCUCUCUCUCUCACUGUCCACUCUGCCUGUCAAAAAAAAAAAAAAGUAUGAACCCAUACUACCCUCUUGUCUUUAUUGUCACAAUGUCAGAUUUGCAUAUUUUAACUUUUUUCUAUAUGAGAUACAAACAUGAAGAUUUCGCUUACUAUAACACAUUCUGUUAAAAACUUUUUAUAUUAGUUAAUGAAUGUUUAACCUAUUUGAAAGAUAGAGAGGGAGAGACAGAGAGCUUGCAUAUGUUGGUUCACUCUCCAAAUGUCCAUAACAGUCAGGUCUGUAGCAGACUGAAGCCAGGAGCCCAGAAACCAAACUCUAGCUCAUAUGUGGAUGGAAGGGACCAACCAUUUGAGCCACAACCUCCUGCUUCCCACAGUGCACUUUAGUAAGAAGCUAGGAUUGGGGGCCGGCGCCAUGGCUCACCUGGUUAAUCCUCUGCCUGCGGCGCCAGCAUCUCAUAUGGGCACCAGGUUCUAGUCCCGGUCGCUCCUCUUCCAGUCCAGCUCUCUACUGUGGCCCAGGAGGGCAGUGGAGGAUGGCCCAAGUGCUUGGGUCCUGCACCCGCAUGGGAGACCAGGAGGAAGCACUUGGCUCCUGGCUUUGGAUCAGUGCAACACCGGCCAUAGCGGCGGCCAUGUGGGGAGUGAACCAACUGAAGGAAGACCUUUCUCUCUGUCUCUCUCUCUCACUGUCUAUGACUCUACCUUUCAAAUAAAAAAAAAUAAAAAAUAAAAAAAAAUAAAAAAAAAAACUAGGAUUGGAUGCAGAGCAGGGACUCAAACCCAGGCAUUCCUAUAGGAAAUGUGGGCAUCUUAAGCAAUGUCUCAGCCACUGUGCCAAAUAACCACCCCAACAGGCCCAUUCUUUACUUGAUUAUAAUUGGGCCAGAGUUUCAUUUUUCUGGUUCCUGGAUAUAGUUGUAUAUAAGUUUAGAACAGAUGAGAGAGAGAAUGAGAAUAAAGUGAGGACUAAUGAACAAGAUAUUGUUUAUUUUGUUCACACACAAAUGCUAAAUAAAUUCUGAUUAGCAUUAUGGUGGAGUAAUGAGGAUGGUAUUAGUAGUUGACUGAUUUUGUUAAAUGGGCAUUCCAAAUAUAUCUAUAGUGCUCUUAAAUUAAAAAGACUAAUUACUUAUUUUCUCCUUUAAGACUGUUGUUUGGACUUCAGCUUGAUCCCUGAGGCUAUGGACUGAGCCAUUUUAUGAUCUCAGUACUCCUGGUAACAGCAGCUAAGCCAGAAAGCGAAUGAAAACCUCAUGUAGCCAGACUUUCACCUCCAACCUGAACCUCAGCACCAAACUGAGUACUUCCAAACUAGUUCAGAUUUUUACCUUAGGAAUAAAAGAAGCAUUUACUGUCUCAUAGUUUUUGUAGGUCUGAAAACUGGGCACGCUUAGCUGAGAGCUUCUUGCUCAAGGUCUUUCCUGAGGUCACAGGAGAGUUGUCACCUGGAGCGACUACAGUCCCACCUGAAGGCUCACCUGAGGAAGGAUAAUCCCUUUCUAAUGUCGGGCAUGGGGAGCGUGGCAAGACCAGGUCUCUAUCCAGGUGAGUGUCUCCUCGGGGCUGCCUCAGAACGUGUUGUCUUUUACAGGUAAUCACAGAAAUGAAAUCCCAUAUGGAGUGUUUUUCAUCCUCUUCAAGAGUUUUUUUUUAUAAAACUAAACGCAAAAAAGUUUUCCCUGUUAACGUUUCCUUCAAGAACUUUAGAUCUUUCACAUAUGUACCUGAUUCUGUUUGAUUAAGUUUUGCAUACAGUGUCAGAGUCACCCAGUUGUUCUAACACCAUUUAUUGAUAGAACAAUAGCUCUUCCUUGAAUGCCUCUAUCAAUCUCUUUUUUUCAAGAAUGUCAAUUGGUCAUGUGGGUAUUAAUCUCUUUCAGGAUGAUCUAUUUUGUUCAAUCAGUCUACACACGUCUUCUAAUGCCCAUACCACUCACUCGUAAUUCCUGUACCUUUAUCUGUCUGAGGUGGUAAGUCCACCAUAUUUGUUUUCCUUUUUCAAAAUUGCUUGAUCAGUUCUACUUAUACCAAGUAAAAUUUAUUUUCAGCUUGUCAUUUUCAAUAAAACAUACCAUGUUUGUGAUUGAGGUUGCAUUGAAACUCUAAGUCAAUUGAGAGAAGCUUCCCGCCGUAAUGAUAUUGAAUUGUGUGAUUCAUAAACCUGCUAUAAUUGCUUCACGUUAUUUGUUUUAUCUGCCGUAGAAAUUUUUUCAUCUUAUUUGUUUAUAAAAGACAAUCCAAUCAUAUCUUCAUUAUGUUUAUUCCUGAGUAUUUUAGUUUUCUGAUGCCACUGAGAAUGCAGUAGUUCCUUUUUAUGUCUAAUGAUUACUUACUAGCACAUAGAAGUAGUCUACUUUUUAUAUUGGCCUUAUGCCAGGCAACAUUACCAACUUGUUUUUCUGUCUACAAAUAUUAAUAUAGAUUCCUUAGGCUUUUCUUCCAUGUGAUUUUGACAAUUGCAGGUGAGAAGCCUUUGAAUAACUGCUUUCCAAGCUAUUCACCUAUUGUUUAUUUUUCCUGCAGAGAUAGGAAAUCAAAAGUGGGGCACUUUAUGUUUAUUCUGUGGAAAGAAUAGAAAGCAAUAAUUUAGUCUGUUUGGUAUGAUUUUUUAUUCCAAAUUUUAAUAUGAACAAUCCUACUUAUAAUUAAGGCAGAGUAGCAAGUGACAUGAUCACUGUGUUUUGUUUCCUGAUAAUCCACUCUGGUUCAGAUAAUACCAGGAACUCACAGCGAUUUUCAGUUCUCAGAAAUGGGAGGAUCCAGACAGAGACCGAUGAUCAAUCUGGAUGUCAGUGAUGUCAUCCUUAGAAAUGAGCCUUUGAGGAGGCAGACAGUACAUUCUGAGUUUCUGAGGAGACAGAGAUUGUGCCACAACCACAGGCCUUCUUCCGCAAAGCCCCACCAAGCACGUAAAUCAUCAAAAAACAGUGAGUUAAAAUUACCCAAGUAACACACGAAAAGAAUAGGAAUGACUGUUCUUUGUAGGAAACCAUAACACGUUUUACAAGAAGGAGAAACGAUGUGGAGCUACAGAGGAAAAACCAUCAACGACGCAGUAAAGACGAUGAGCACUGAUGCGCUCAAGAGCUGAGCUAGGGUCCUUAAACACCACUUGCUUACCAUGUGCUGCUCCCAACAAUGCUAUGGUACAGGUGAUGUUUGUUCCCCAUUUUAUAGGAAAGAUGCAGUGUUUAUAAGCAGACAGGGCCAGUGAGGUAUAAGCCAUGUGGACAGUGUGAAAUCCAAAGGUGCUUAGGCAGUGGAAGAUAAGGCAGUAGGCAAGGGUAGAUAAAGAAGUCGAGACGGAAUGUGCUUCUUGAACACCCACCUGUACAACUAAUUAUGGGAGAAAAAAACUGUACAAGCAGUUCCAAUGACACGAACAGGGUGCAAGAAUCCCCUCUCUCAGUCCCAGGAGAGUAGAUGGAGCAGAUAUUUGCUUUCUCAUCAUGACUAAUUUCCUGCCAGGUUCUGGCGCCCCAUUCUCUCUAGAUUCUAGGAAUGUUGGCUCCAGUUCUGAUCCGGUGGUCAGCUUUCUUCACGCUCCAUCUAACAUCACUGGCUGUUUCUGCAGCUAGGUUGAGGGUUCAGUGACCGGUGUUUUGUUUGCAUUUAUUGGCAGAGCCCGAACUUACCUUUGUUCCCAUUGAUAGCCUCUACCAACACGAGGGAUAAAGCCUGGUUUCCCGCAGAGACUGAUCAGCAGUGAGAGCGUCUGGGCCCUGAACUACACCAAGAAGCUCCUUCAAGUUCAAGUCUGGCCUGGAAAACUGAGGCCCCGAGCCGGCACUCUGGUAAGGUGCCUAAUUCUUCAGUCCCACAAGCCUUCCCCAGGAACAAUGCAUGCAUGCAUGGUUUCAACACUUGGACAAGAAGGAAACCCGAGCAGAGGCACAAGGGAUCUGUCGCAGAAACAAGUCCUAUCCCAGAAGCAUCAAACACCAGAAUGCACAAAAAACGUCUCCCACGUUGAAACAAACACCUCGGCUCAUCCCACCUUCUUGGGUGCUGCCCCUCUUCCCGCCACCCUUCUGGCGAAUGACAUACCUCACCUCUCAGUUCUCUCUUACAGAAUCAUACAACGUGGUUUUUUUGAGACAGACUCUCUUAGCAUAAUGCUUUUGAAUUUCAUCCAUAUUAUAUCAUUCCCUUUUUAUUUCCAAAUGCCAUUCCAGUGUUUGCAUAAACCACAUUUUGUUUAUCCAUUCAUCUGUUGAUGGACAGUUAAAUUAAGUCUGUCUUUUGGCUGCUAUGAAUGUUUGUAUGUGGUUUUCCUGUGAAGUCAACCUGUCAGUUCUCUUGGACAUAAACCUACAAGUAGAGUGGCCAGACCGUACGAUAACUGUGUGUGGAACUUUUUAGGGAAUUGUCGAACAGUUUGUCCUGGUAGCUGUUGCAUUGCAAUCCCACCCGGAUCAUAUGUGGCAGAAUUGGGCUUCUGUCCUCCAAACACGCGUUAUCUGUGUCUGGAUUGUAGUCACGCUAGGAUGGGGGAGGUGUUACCAGUUGUGUUUGGAUUUGCAUUUCUCUAACAACUAAUGAUAUGGAGCAUUUGGUUCAUGUGCACCAUGCCCAUUUGUAUGUCAUCUUUGAAGCAAAGUCCAUUCAAAUCCUUUCACCAUUGUUUACAUGCUGAUACUUGUCUUUUAAUUGUUGAGUUAUGAGGACGCUUUAUAGGUCCUGGGCAUAAGACCCUUAAGGAAGAUAUGAUCUCAAAAUAUUUUCUCCCAUUCUCUAGGUUGCCAUUUCACUAUUUUAAUUAACUAUUUUAAGCACAGCAGUUUAAAAUUUGAAGAAAUUAAUCUUUUCUGAAUAUGGGUUUUGUUUUUUGUUUUGUUGUUGGUUUUUUUUUUUUUUUUUUUUUGACAGGCAGAGUGGACAGUGAGAGAGAGAGACAGAGAGAAAGGUCUUCCUUUACCAUUGGUUCACCCUCCAAUGGCCGCUGCGGCCAGCACACCACGCUGAUCUGAAGCCAGGAGCCAGGUGCUUCUCUUGGUCUCCCAUGCAGGUACAAGGUCCAAGCACUUGGGCCAUCCUCCACUGCACUCCCUGGCCACAGCAGAGAGCUGGACAGAAGAGGAGCGACCAGGACAGAAUCCGGAGCCCCGACCGGGACUAGAACCUGGUGUGCCAGUGCUGCAGGCGGAGGAUUAGCCUAUUGAGCUGCGGCGCCAGCCUCCAAAAACUCGUAUGAUCCUACAGCCUCUAACAGUAACUGCCUUAAAUUUCCAAUCCACUACCAAGGGCUGUCCCUCUCCAGUUUCUAAGAAUCUGUCCCACACCAUGAGGCAUUCAAAUUCACCAAAAUUGCUCUUUUCAAGGUCACCAAUGGCUUACACAUCAUCAGGUCGGGUUUUUUAUUUGACCUGUUUCUUCUCCUAGAAGCACUACCUGCAAUUCCCCCACUCUUGGUCCCAGGCUAUUCUCUCUCCUUCUUCCACACAGGUUCAUCUUCCUGAUGCUUUUUUGACACUUUCUCAAAUGCUGUGAAGUCUCCAAGGCUCAAUACUCAAACCUCCUCUUUUUUCUAUCUACUCUUACCUCCUAGGAGAUCUUAUCCAAUUCCACAAACUUUAAAUAUAAUGUCUUUCAUAAGAAAUUAUAGAGGCUGGCAUUGUGGCACAGCAAGUUAAGCCACCACCUAGGAUGCCAGCAUCCCACAAGACUGGUUCGAGUCCCAGCAGUUCCACUUCUGAUCCAGCUCCCUGUUAAUGCACCUGGAAAAGCAGCUGAGGAUGACUCAAGAACUUAGGUUCCCAACACCCACAUGGGAGACCCGGACAAUGGAAUUCCUGCUUCCUUUGUCCUGGCCCAGCCCUUCCCAACCACUGCAGACAUCUGGGGAGUGAACCAGCCGAUGGAAGAUUCUCUCUCUCUCUCUCUCUCUCUCUCCCAUCCCUCCCUUCCUCCCUCCCUCUCUGUGACUCUACCUUCCAAAUAAAUCUUUUGUAAAAAAUAAAGCAUUAUAUAUAGCAAUUUCCAGACUAAAGUUUUCAAAUCUAGAGUUUAAUAUUCAACUGCUCAAAAUGUCCAUUCAUCUGGAGACAGCUUCUCAUGUUGUUCUCUGACAACCUCUUCAGAGUAUUCUUAUCUCUGCAGAAUCCCCAUCUCACGAGGGUGGCCUGGACUUGUGAAUUGGCUUCUAAGUUUCUACCUCUACCUCUUAUACCAUUCACUGUGGGAGAAGCCAGCUGCUGCGUCAUCAAGCAGUCCUCUGAGAGAUGUCUCUGGCCAAAGACCAAAGCCAGUCAAAAUAUCACGUGUGUGAUGACUGAAAUGACCACGAUCUCACAGAUCAGCAUUCAGAUGACUCUGCAGAUCUGGUGGCCACCUGACUGAAACCUGAGGAGGACCUUGAGCCAUAAGCAACCGGUUAAGUCAUGGACUGUUUCCCGAAUGAUGGAAGCAGUGUAAUGAAUAUUUAUUGUUUCUAGCUGCUGUGUCAGAGUAGCAAUGUAGUCAAUUAGUAAUGGAUAGCUAACACAGAUUUUAAAACCUGGACUUUGAGUGCUUUCGUAACGAAAGCCUAAAAUGUGUGAGUGAUUUGGCAACCAUGUAUGGGGCAUGAGAACAUAAUGAAAUACUGAAAUGCCUUGGACACACUCUCAGUGGCGUUUUGAUUUUGUGGAGAUUGCCAGGGAUGACCUCAAGGAGACUGAGAUAUUGUAUUUGCAAACAGGAAGUUGUGCAAGGCAUAAUUUUGACAGCACUGUUUCUUGUGGUUAUGUAGAAAUUAGAAAAUGUGACCAAAGGGGCUGGCGCCAUGGCUCACUUGAUUAAUCCUCCACCUGUGGUGCUGGCAUCCCAUAUGGGCACUGGGUUCUAGUCCCAGUUGCUCCUCUUCCAGUCCAGCUAUCUGCUGUGGCCCAGGAGUGCAGUGGAGGAUGGCCCAGGUGCUUGGGCACCUGCACCCGCAUAGGAGACCAGGAAGAAGCACCUGGCUUCUGGCUUCGGAUCGGCGCAGCACAGCGCCAGCCACAGCGGCCAUUUGGGGAGUGAACCAAUGGAAGGAAGACCUUUCUCUCUGUCUCUCUCUGCCUGUCAAAAAAAAAGAAAAUGUGACUAAAAAACAUGGUGUUGUGGCCAAAGAUGUUUCUAAGAAAUAUGAAGUGGCCACAUUGUGGUGCAGUGAAUUAAGUUGCUGCUUACAACACUAGCAUCCCAUAUGGGAGCACCUGUUCGAGUCCUGGCUGCUCCACUUCUGAUCCGGCUCCCUGCUAAUGCACCUGGGAAAGCAGUGGAAGAUGGCUCAAGUGCUUGGGUCCCUGCAUCCAUGUGGGAGACCCAGAAGUAGCUACUGGUUUCUGGCUUUGAUCUGGCCCAACCCUGGCCAUUGUGGCCAUUUGGGGAGUGAACCAGUAGAUGGAAGAGUCUCUCUCUCUUUCUUUCUCUCUCUCUCUCUCUCUCGCACUCUCACACUCUUGCGUUCUCAUGCUCUGCCUUUCAAAUAAAUAAAAUAAAAUUUUUUUAAAAAUUGUUAUCCACGCAGAAACAUCAUUACUUUCUACUGAGAAGAUAGCUAAGAGUCUAGAAUGAGGAAAUGCCUAGAAAUCUAGAAUCAGGAAGCAAGAUGAGAGGUUUUUCAGAUAAAAACACAUGCUAACUCUCAUGCAGAAAAUAUGAUUUGGAGGAAAAACACCUCCAACCAAACAUUUGACAACUAAAAACAGAGGAGAUGAGAAAUAAAAGCAUGAAAACUAAAAUGAGAGUAGCCAAUCGUCAAUCUAAGGAAAGAAAUUUUUUAAGAAACAAACAAUUUUAUAAUAAAAAUCUGAACUGCACGUUUCCAUGGAAGAAUAUACUCAAAUGAAACAUAAUACGGGACAUCUGUAAAGAGCAGUGAAACAUCGAAGGGAAUGAAAACCGGACAAAGAAAGAAGUUCAAGCAAGCCAAGGGAAAGUGGCUGAAAUGGAAGAGCAUCAAAUGGGAUCCAAUUUAUAUAUACUGGGUCAGGAAUAAUUUUUAUAAACUUACCAGAGGCAGGCAUUUGGCACAGCAGUUAAGACACCACUUGGGGGGCUGACACUGUGGUAUAGUAGGUUUAACCCAUAUGGGUGCCAGUUCUAGUCCCAGCUGCUCCACUUCCGAGCCAGCUCCCUGCUAAUGCACCUGGAAAAGCAGUGGAAGAUGGCCCCAAGUGCUUGGGCCCCUGCCCCCACAUAGGAGACACAAAAGAAGCUCCUGGUUCCUGGCUUUGGUCUAGCCCAGCCCUAGCUGUUGUGGCUAUUUGAGGAGUGAACCAGCAGAUGGAAGAACUCUCUCUCUCUGUCUCUCCCUCUCUCUGUCUGUAGCUCAGCCUCUCAAAUAAUAAAAUAAAAAUAAAUUUUUAAAAAAAGGCACCACUUGGGAGGCCUAGAUCCCAUUUUGGAAUGCCUGGGUUCAAGUCUGGCUCUGCUAAUAAUUUCAUUCUCCUGCUAAUAUGCACUACAGGAAGCAGCAGAUGAUGGCAUAAGGAUUUGGGUCCCAGUCACCCACAACAGAGAGCUUUUUGAGUUCCCAAAUCCUGGCUUUGGCUUGGCUCACCGUGGCUGUAGGGGCAUUUGGGAUGGGAACCAGAGGAUGGGAGAUUGAUCUCUUCUCCUCCUCUUUUAAAUAAACUGUAAUUAUUAGAAAUAAGUUUAAAAUUAAACUCAGAUAAACUUUCUAGCAGCAUCCCUGAGUCAUGAGCCUACAUGUGAAAGGACCCCUUGAGUAUCAGGGUAAAGCAAUUUGGAAUGGUUGAUUCAUGACUGUAUUAGUGAUCGGCUCCAGAAUAAAGUUCCCGCAACUAACUAGCUUACAACAGCACAUUUAUUAUCACAGAGUUUGUGAAUGUCAGAAAUCUUUGCAUGGCUUGGUUGGUCCUCUGGCUCAGUACUCAAGAAGUUGGCCAGGGCAGCCUGUUGGCUGUUCUUAUGCCGUAACAAAUUACUAUCCUCUUAGCAGACUGGAACAGCAUACAUUAAUUACGUCACACCUUCUGCGGGCCAGGAAUCUAGCAUGGCUGAGUUCUGUACUUCUAGGUCUCUCCUGAGGCUGCAAGCAAAGUGCUGGUCUGGGCUGGCAUCUCCUCUGGAAUCCUGACUAGGGGAAGGCUGUUUUAUUGAAGGCCUUGACAUCCCUGCUGGCUGAGGCCACUCUCAGUCAUUGCUUUAGUGCUUUAGUUCAUCAAAGUCUGCCGGAAAGAGAUUCUCCUACCAAAAUUGAAGUCCAAUCUUAUCAGGAAAGACAAAUCCAUUACAUUGGCCCGUCGUCUGUCCAUUAAAAAGAAAUCAUAUAUCCUGUUGGCACUCAGAUCCUCAAGGAUUUGUAACCUCCCACAUGCAAAAUGCACUCUCCUCCUCCCAAGCUCUCCAGUCCCAUCUUCCCAUCAUGGCGUCCUGAGAGCCCGAAUCUCACCAUCUAAAUCAGGAUGUGGACGAGGCUGCUCUGCUAAUCCCUAACAUACUCCUGGAGUACAGCUCCUCCAGUCUAUAAACCUGUGAACCUACAGAGGGACACAUUUGCAUUUCAAAUACCCAACACACAUUGGUGACACAGAAUACAACAACCGAUACAGAAAUUCCUGACCCCGAAGGGAAAAAUGUGAGAAGCACCACAGACUCAGGGGACGCCAUCAGUUCUGAAAACCAAGCUGCAAACGUCGGAAGCUCAUUAAGUCCAACUUCUUCGAGGCUUUUUGCUCUGCCCUCUGGGAUCUUGUUUCUAGCCUUGGCCAAUCUCCCUUAGUCAUGAAAUUUAGCCAGUGUUUGGCAGCUGAGGGAAUUUCCUCUUCCGAAUUCCUGCCCCUAGGAAUUAGGGCAUCAGCCUUUAUCACUGUACCGUCUGCAUCACUUUCAGUCUGAGUUUGAAGCGGUUUUGAGAUUUUGAAUUCUACCAAAUUUUGUGGGCCUGCCGUGAGUUACCUUGUGUUGCAUUCCAUUUGGGAAAAAAAAAAAAAAAACCCACACUCAUGAAACGCUUCAAGAUAAUUAUGGUGUGACUAAGACAGCCGGAUGCAAUGCCCUGAUCUUCUUAGAGGUUUUAUUGUGUAGGAGCAUCUGUGGGAUACAAUACUAAUCUUUUUAAAAUUUCCUUUGGGCCACUGAAUAAUAUUUUGAGGUGCCACCGUUGAGCUUCCUGUAAUGGGAACUGCUACUUGACAAUCCCACUUUCCGCUUUAUCUUUACAGCACAUGACCGAGGCAAUGCCCUCCAUCAUUAAUCGGCAGCCAUUUUUUAAUUUUUCCAUCUUUUAUCAUUUGGAGAGGCUUCGAACUGUCCAAGACACUGAACUUGCGCUUUAUCAGUCUUUUUCAUUUUACCACGAGAGGCGAGAAGAAAGCAAGUGACACCCUCAACACAGUGCUUGGGAAUCUCCCUCGGUGAAUCACCAAGUUCAUUAUGUACAUUCGCUGCUUUUCACGUCACCACAGAAAUCACUGUUGCUAAGUGUUCUGUGACUGGGUGACAAGGAUCCCCUACCCUCCAACUUUCUAUUUCAUUUUCUGAUUUCCUCGUGAGCCCUCAUGGACAGAAUCCUCAAUGUUCAGGUGCUCUUGGGAAGGACAUUUAGCUAUACUAAAUAAGAAAGUGAGACAAAACAAAAAUAAAACCAGAAGUGGAUGUCUCAGAGAUGUGAGACAUGUCUUGGAAAUGGGAAGGAUCAUAAGGAACUAGUAGGAGCAAUUAUUGGAUAUUAGAUAUAUAGCCAACAAAUUGGAUAACAUAAAAGAAAUGAUAAACUCUAGGAGCAUACAGGCUAAAAAUCAAGAAGAAAUAGAGAGCCUGAGCUUUCUAUUGGUUUCAAUAACAGACAAGAAAAUCAGAUCAGUAAUUCUUCCUAAACUCUCCAGCCAGGAUCCCAGAACUCCAUCGGGGUCUCUGCCAUGGGUGGCAGAGAUCUGACUCCUUGGGCCAUCACUGCUGCCUCCCAGAGUGCACACCAGUGAGGGAAUGGACAUAGUGUAACCAGCACUGAUAUUCCUAUGCAAAGAGUUGAUGCAAACCAAAGAGAAGUCACUGAUUGAUAACAGUCCUGAAAUCCAGCUAGGGAAGGUUCCAUGAUUGCGACUAAACUAUAUCCUCCCCAGAUGACUAUCCCCUCUGGGCUCUUUGUUCUGCCUCCUAAGUCAUUCUUUCAUUUUUAGGGAUGGAGAGGUAUAGUUUCCUCAGUCUGAUCCUUACCCAUAAUAUUUGGAGAGCCAAUGAAAUAUUCUCUUUUGUUACUGUCUCUACCACCUUGUGUCCAAGCUAGUGGUGCUUCUGCUGGUAUAAUUCUAUUAAAAAGCUUCUGAAGCUACUGUGAAUCUUAUUGGUGUGCCACUGAUUAGACAAAAGACAACCAAAAAUCUCAGGGAACCUCAUCUCUUUCCUGUGCUUCUAUCAAGGGGAGAAAAAAGUGUCCUUAAGCUUGUAUCUGUAGGGGAAUCUUUAAAGAUCAAAAUCACAGUGAUAGGGCUCCCUUGCUGGGAAAUGGCUGUCUUGCUCCUGCCCCAUCUUCCUGGCCCCUGAGCCUUCUGGGAGAAACCCCGAGGUUUGGGUGGGUUUGUGGUCAUUUAAAAACCCGGCUCUGAAGAAGCCAACCUGGUGCACAGCACUAAGAUGUCUUCCCUUCAUUUAUCAUGUAACUGAGACUGUUCGGUGAGAUCAUACAAUGGCCCUGCGUUUGGUUUUAAGCCACCGGCUCCUCGCAUCAAGUUUGCUCCUGUUGCUCUCUUAUUUUAAAAUGCGAAGAGCAGCCGGAAGGCACUGACCUACCCUUGAGUCUUUCAGUGCUUCAUUAGCUGUACCUUGGACAGCAACAUCACCUGCUUUCCCUCUUGAGAACACAGGACAACCAGAGACUGGUUUGCUACAUCAGGAAUGAGGAAGGGGAAUCUCACUGAUGGCUGAAACAUCAUAGGAAAAAUAAAUAAUUCCUGAAAAUCAAACAGGAUCCAAAUUUGUUUGGAAUCUGCUAGCUGCAAACAGCAGAACCAGCUGGCUUGGGCACAAAAAGAAGUGUUUUGUGAGAAGAGAUUGUAGGACCUUAGGACAUCAGACGCGUACCUGAUGGAUUAGGUCUCAGGAAGCCAGGGGUAAGAGCUUCCCCAGGUCCUGGACAGCAGGAAUCUAGAACCUUCUCUCUGAAGCCAUUGAAAUGACUCAGCCACCAUUUCUCCUUUUAUGCAUCUCUUCUGCUGAGGUUUGGAUUCUCAGGAAAAAAGCUGUUUCUGGUUUGUUUUCAGAAUGAUUCUCUAAUGACCAUAUAUGUGUUUCUCAAUGUUGCCUCGCUCACCGUGAAUGAUUAAUCCAAUGACAGAUAUUUUUCAUUUAGGGCAGGUCAGUUUAGCUCAAGUUUAUUUAGGCUCCACUAGGGACAGAUGGAACUUUUUUUUAUGUAACUUACCCUUUGCUCACUUCCUACCUGUUGGAAGAUUAAUAUAUUCUAGGGUAGACAUUAUAAUGCUACUUAGAUGAGGGAAGGGAGCAGACUUGAGUUUCAUUUAUCUGCACCUUCACGUAUUAGUACACUGAUGCCCCAACUCACCUUUUUCUAAAGAUUUAUUUAUUUAUUUGAAAGGCAGAGUUACAGAGAGAGAGAGAAAGAGAGACAGAGACAGCUCUUCCAUCCACUGAUUCACUCCCCCAAAUGGCCACAACAACUAGGCUGGGUCAGGCCAAAGCCAGGAGCAAGGAGUUUCUUCCGGGUCACCCACAUGGGUGCAGGGGCCCAAGGGCUUGGGUCAUCCUCCGCUACCUUUCCAGGCACAUCAGCAGGGAUCUGGAUUGGAAGUGAAACAGCCAGGAUUCGAACCAGCACCCAGAUAGGAUGCAGGUACUGCAGAACACGGCUUUAACCCACUGCACUUCUGCAGGACAGUGUCACCCACCACCCAACCCCCCACCCAUAUCACCUUUCACAUGUUCAUACAUGAAUGGAUGAGUGCUUUCAGCUACCCGACAAUUGUUAGACAAACACCAGACCAACAAUUCCACUUUGGUGGCACCACUUUAGACUAGACAAUGAAGUUUGUGUACUUAGAUUGUACAUUUUUCAUAGUCUACUCUUAUAUAUUUAAAUAACCAUUACCUUCUCUCUGUAUACUACAAUAUCAAACAAAACUGAUGGAGUAUGACUUGGGGAUGAACUGACCUAAAACAUUAGGCCAUUCAUAGACAUAAGAAUUUUUUAAAGAUUUAUUUAUUUAUUUGAAAGGCAGUCAGAGUUACAGAGAUGGGGGGAAGAAUCAAAGAGACUUUGUUUCACUCCCCAAGUGGCUGCAAGAGCCAGGACUAGGCCAGGUCAACGCCAGGAACCUGGAACUCCAUCGUGAUGUCCCACAUGUGUAGCAGGAGACCAAGCACUUGGCCAUCUUCCACUGCUCUCCCAGGAGUAUUUGCAGGGAGCUGGGCCAAAAGUGGAGCAAUUGGAACUCAAGCUAGCACCUAUAUGAAUGCCAACGUCUCAGGUGGCAGCUUAACCCACUGCACCACCACACUGGCCCCAGCCAUAAGAAUCCUCAGAAGUAUCUCCAAGGCAAAGGUAAUGCUCUGUAGAACUGCAGGAUCUGAAGCCCAAAAGGAAGCCACAGACAGGUGAAGCAAUGUGAUUUAAAUAUGUUAUGGUGCAGGGAAGGACUGGGAUCCUUGGGUACACCAUUACAGUUGAACAGUAGGAACGAGUUCUGAUGUUCCAUCCCAAGCAGGGUGACUGUUGUCAAUAGUAACAUAUCAUACAUUCCAAAAUGUCUGGAAGAGAGGAUUUUGAAUGCUUCAUCACAAAGAAAUGAUACAUGUUGGAAGCCAAAGUUAUGCUUACGAUUUGAUCAUUCCAUAAUGUAUGCAUGGAUCAAAGCAUCAUAUUGUACAUCAUAAAUAUAAGCAAUUAUUACAUUACAUGUCAAUUUAAAAUACAAGUAAAAAGGGCUAGUACUGUGGCACAGUGGGUUAAGUCAACACUUGUGAUGCCAGAAUCCCUUAUCAGAACACUGGUUCAAAUCCCAGGUGCUCUGCUUCUGAUACAGAUCCCUGCUAAUACACCUGGGAUGCAGUGGAUGAUAGCCCAAUUUCUUGGGCCCUUGCCACCCAUGUGGGAGACUCAGAUUGGAUUAGUUCCCGGCUUCAGUCUGGCCCAGUCCCAGCUGUUGCAGCCAUUUAAGGAAUGAACCAGUGGAUGGAAGAUCUCACCAUCUGUCUCUCUCUCCCUUUGUGUGUCUAUCACUCUGCCUUUCAAAUAAAUCAAGUAGUCUCUUUAAAUAAAUAAACAAAAGUUUUUAAAAAUGGGAAAAGUAUAGCAAAUCAAAGGGCUCAAAAACACUAGUUCUGAAUGACAGGUGCUGGAAUUGGGAAUCCCGCUGCUUUUCACAGGGCAACUCUUUGGAACUUGUCCGGAUUGAGGAGCAAACUUAUUCAGGAUGGCUGAUGAGUUUCCUGAGCAGCAUUCAGAAAGCCAGCAGAGAAUUCUACAGAAGUGAGUAAAAAGCGUAAAAUUAAAAGUACUGAUGGAGGGCUGGCGCUGUGGCGUAGCAGGUAAAGCCACCCCUUGCGAUGCUGGCAUCCCAUAUGGGCGCCAGUUCAAGUCCCAGCUGCUUCACUUCCGAUCCAGCUCUCUGCUAUGGCCUAGGAAAACAGUAGAAGAUGGCCCAAGUGCUUGGGCCCCUGCACCUGUGUGGGAAACCUAGAAGAAGCUCCUGGCUACUGGUUUUGGAUCUGCCCAACUUGAGUCGCUGUGGCCAUUUGGGGAGUGAACCGGUGGAUGGAGGAUCUUCUCUGUCUCUCCCUCUCUCUGUAACUCUGCCUUUCAAAUAAAUCUUAAAAAAAAAAAAAAAAAAA